rnacentral:rRNA from 1 species
UCGAGAAUCUUUUGCAAUGGGCGAAAGCCUGACAAAGCGACGCCGUGUGAGUGAUGAAGGCCUUCGGGUUGUAAAACUCUUUCGCUUGGGAACAAGGAUGAGGGAAGAAUAUUUUUUCAUUUUGAGGGUACCAGGUAAAGAAGCACUGGCUAACUCCGUGCCAGCAGCUGCGGUAAUACGGAGGGUGCAAGCAUUAAUCGGAUUUAUUGGGCGUAAAGGGCGCGUAGGCGGUAUUGUAAGUCAGAUGUGAAAUUCCGAGAGCUUAACUCCGGAGCUGCAUUUGAAACUGUAAUACUUGAGGGUUGACGGAGAAAAUGGAAUUCCAUGUGUAGCGGUGAAAUGCGUAGAUAUAUGGAAGAACACCAGUGGCGAAAGCGGUUUUCUAGUUAAUACCUGACGCUGAGGCGCGAGAGCAAGGGGAGCAAACAGGAUUAGAUACCCCCGUAGUCC